GGUAACUUGGCCGAGCGGUCCAAGGGCGCCACGUUAGGGUCUAUCCUUGAUUCACAUCUUGAGUCGUUCAAGAUUCCGUGCUCCGAAAGGGGCGUGAGUUCGAAUCUCACAAUUGUCA